CUGGGACCACCAGUAUCAGCCACUACACCUGACCAAUUAAUUUUUUUUUUUCUUUUUGUAGAGACGAGGUCUUGCUGUAUUUCCCAUGCUGGUCCUAAACUCCUGGCCUCAAGUGAUCCUCCUGCCUCAGCCUCCCAAACUGUCGGAAUUGCAGAGAAUUCACUGAGAGUUGAAGGUCAAGGUGCUUCAAAUAUCAUGAGAGGUGGCUGGGCAAGUGGCUCACGCCUGUAAGUCCCAGCACUUUGGGAAGCUGAGGCGGACAGAUCAGCUGAGAUCAGAAGUUGGAGAUCAGCCUGGGCAACAUGGUGAAACCCCAUCUCUACUAAAAAUACGAAAAUUAGCCGGGUGUGGUGGCACAUACCUAUAACCUCAGCUAUUUGAGAAGCCAAGGCUGAGAGUUGCUUAAACCCUGGAGAAGGAGGUUGCAGUGAGCUGAGAUCAUGCCACUGUACUCCAGCAUGGGGGACAGAGUGAGACUUCAUCUCAAAAAAAAAAACAAAACAAAACUAAAAAAUCAUCAGAGGCCACCGGAUUUGUUGGAAAUGCACUAACCGUGGCCA
rnacentral:lncRNA from 1 species